rnacentral:sRNA from 1 species
UCUGGUAGACUAAAGGGUCAUCUAGAACUUGCCUCGCUGACGCUCUUGCAGAGGGCUCAAAAUACAAUUAACCUUCCAAUGAUUUGUCCCAGGCUCAAGAUAUCCUCUCUUGUGAGAUGGGCGCUCUCAAGGUACACCUCUUCCAGCCAUUCCUGCAAACUGGAUCUGGUUUAUUGGUCAUAUCACCUCCUGUGGCCACGUCGCCCACUGGCGUUAUCAACAAGGUGUCAAAUGGCGGUUGACCUACGAAGAGCUCAAAGAGCUGUCGUCAGUUUACUGUUCUAUAUAGUCACGGUGUUU